GACGAACGCUGGCGGCGUGCCUAACACAUGCAAGUCGAACGGAGAUCCUUGGAUUGAGACUUCGGUCAAAUGAAUUGGAUCUUAGUGGCGAACGGGUGAGUAACGCGUGAGCAACCUGCCUUUCAGAGGGGGACAACAGUUGGAAACGACUGCUAAUACCGCAUAACACAUCGAGGGGGCAUCCCCAUGAUGUCAAAGAUUUAUCGCUGAAAGAUGGGCUCGCGUCUGAUUAGAUAGUUGGUGAGGUAACGGCUCACCAAAGUCGACGAUCAGUAGCCGGACUGAGAGGUUGAACGGCCACAUUGGGACUGAGAUACGGCCCAG
rnacentral:rRNA from 1 species